rnacentral:lncRNA from 1 species
GCUUUAAAAAAAAAAUCAACACACACACACAGUAUAUAUGUAGCUUUAUCUGCACAUGAGUGUACUACAACAAACCUUCUGCUGGCACAUAUACUCAAAUGUCGUUUGCUUCUCAAUGUGUGUGUGCGUGUGUAUGGCUGUGUUCGGCUACUUCUGCUGAGGAAGAGAAAGAAGAUGAUGAUUCGACUAGAGACGCGAGAGUCACCCUUAAGAAGGGUCAAAGUGGGGGGCUGACUGGCAAGCAAGCCAGCAAGCAAGCAGGCAGGCAGGCAACAACAUUGGGGCAGGCGGCAAUCGAAAGGAGAAAAAAUUUUGCAAUAUAAAAAUGGAACAGCGAAUAAAUGAAACAAACCAACGAACUGACUGGAACGAAAAGGUAGAAGGAGAUAGAAAGUGCGAGCGUCGGCAAAGACGACUAGCGUCUGACUAUUGGAGCAUGGUUAAAAUUCCGCGACACCAUUGCCACACCAUAAUAUCAGCGCGCCCAACAACUUGGAUCGGCAUUCGAUUGUUUGUGCGAGUAUAGUAUGCCGGUCUAACCGUCUGCCAUCGAAGGUUCGUCUGUUUGCAGUCAUACAGUGAAGUGAAAUAUAAGCAAGUUAAAUAAAAACGCAGAUGCAGAAACGAACGAACUCUUCAAAAAGUCUGUAUCCCAUUACAUACAUACAUAUAUACACACACAGCAAUACAUACGUACUACAUAAGCCAUAUACAUAUGUAUGUAUGUAAAAAAGUGUGUGUGUAAAAAACUGUGGCGAUGCUGGAAGUAAGACUUACUACCACCACACCUUAUCAAAUGGUCAAAGGACGAAUGGGAGUAUUGAUUAAUUGGAAACAAGAACAUCAAUGGGAUUAUAAUAAUUUUAGCUGUUGCUAAGUGACUUCAAGUUUAUAUACUUAUGGAGCAUGCCAGUCUUAUUAGAAAAUCAUCUCACGGUAAAACAAAGGCACUGCAAAAGACAUCCCCCAAAAUAAAAUUUUCUCCGAUUAAGCAAUUCUCCAAAUCAAAAAAAAAAAAAAUCAAUACAAACACAAAUAUAAAGAACAUCCAUACAUAGGAAUUAACUAAUGAAAACCUGGAUAUUAUUUUCGAAUGUCCUGAAACCCUUGGACAGCAGUUAAGUAAAUGCAAAUGGUCAAAUAGCACUAUAAUAUGUAAAAAUGUAAUGUGACAUCACGAAAACUAGUUAAAUAUUAUAAUUUCAAAAAUUGUUUGACAAUUUGACAUCUGUAUAGACAUAAUCUAGUCUCUUUUCUCCCCAAGAAGCUGCUCAUUUGUCCUAACCGCCGAUAUCUGACCACUAUAGCAUAUAGGUUCGGUUAGGCUUUCACGGCAAACAUAGAUCUACUGGUCCUCAGCAAGGCCAGAUGGAGGUUCAAUUUACUUUGAGGUGAAGUAUUCGUCAUACAGGACUUCAACGCUUUUUGCGAACUUUAUAAGCGAUUUUAUAUCUAUGUACGUUUGAUACUUUGUCUAGUUGCUUUUAUUCCGAAGCUCCUAGAUACUUAAGAUGAGUUCUAGAUAGUGCUGGACAAAAGUAUAGGAGGUGUUCCAACGUCUCUCUCAAGCCGACUCGCAUGUGAUGCCAUUAGGUUGGGAUCUGUCAAAAUGCCAACAGCUGCGCGGCAGUACUUUCGAAACCGCAUGAGCAAAAUGCAUACGAGUUUUCUUAGGAGGCUCUUGCACAUCAUCUUGGCGAUUCUGCAUGUAUAGUACAUUCUAUAUAUUUUUUCUCUCGCGGAUGAGAACGCCUGUCAGCUUUUUCGGAAAUUCCAUUGCAUAUCGAUUUUAGUGACUUCCGUAUUUCCUUCACUUAUUCGGUAGCCAGACGGAUGAAACUUUUGGUAAUCUUAUCAGCUGUUUCAUUUCCCGGAAUUCCUUUGUGGUCUGGAACCCAGUAUAUAUGCAAUCGCGUUCCGUCAAUUGCUACAUCAAGUGUCUCCCUGUUUCUAAGGACAUUCUCUGACGUAGCGCAAUAGAGAUUAUUAAUCUUUUUUAUAUGGUUUCCUGCACCAAUUUCUCAAUUCACAAGACUCGCACCUGGAAGUUACUGCAAUAUUCCGGAAACUUGAAAGGUUGCCUGAGAUCUAGCUCAGAGCAAUAGAUUCCGGCUCCCACUUCUUUAUCCUUGUUUGAUCCGUCUGUAUAGAUAUUGUAAGUUCCGCUGGUGAGUCGCAUGCUCCUGUGACAUCCACUCACCUUUACUGUGACCUGGCACUUUCUCUCCCAAAUAGAGCGUGUGGGUAUGUGCUCUAAUUUGUCCAACAAUCACCUGCUUAUUUAUCUAUGACCGAAGAUCCUUAUAGAGAAUUCACCUAAUACCGUCAAUCUUGCAGCCGAUUUUACCGCAGAGCAUUGUCGAUUGGUGGUAGGUAGAGCAACCUUUCUAGUGCAGCCAUUGGAGUGGUUCUUAGUGAUCCCGUUAUGCGUUCGAUUGGUUUCCUCUAUGAGAUUUUGUUCAUAGCUGUCACCACACCAGUGGAUUGUAAAGGAAAAUUGGCUUGACUACUGCUGUGUAACACCAAUGCUUAAGGCCAGAAGCUAGAUCUCAUCAAGUCGACUCCCAAGUAGGUAUGCUCCUUAAUUGUUAAUGCAGUGCAGACUAUAGUUAAUAGCUGCCAUACAAACUGAAGAUCAAAAUCAAGCUCUUGUAUAAAAACUUUUCUAUUUCUCAAGAUAUCUUUACGAAAUUUGGCAUUGUAUAUUGUCUAAGGAAAUGUUGCAAACUCCGAAAAAAAUUGUUUAGAUUGGAUCACUAUAGAUUGUAGCUGCCAUACAAACUGAACGAAAAAGUCCUUGUAAGGAAAAUUUUUUUAUUUGACAAGGUAUCUUCACAAGUUUUGGCAAGACAACGGUACAACCUCCAAUCAGAAAUCAAGUAUUAAUUAUUCUCUCAAGAUCCACAAUAAAAAAGAUGAACGUAUUUGGGAAAAUGGAAAUUGCCUUGCUCUUUAUUAACCACUUAAAAAGAAAAAAACUAAAAUUUCUUCUCUUUUUUGGCACACCAUACCUAAAAAUAUAGUAAUAAUUCUAGAUCAUGCGAUAUUUAACAAUAUCAACGCUUUAUUUAAUCCAAACUCAAAAAAAUGUCGUUAUAUAAAACUGUUCGGGCUGUAUUGUUUACUCUUUUCUUAUUGACUUUUUAGUUUUUUAACACAUAAUGUAUUUUUAU